rnacentral:misc_RNA from 1 species
UGUAUAUAUGGAUAUUCUUUUGCACUGAAAUUUCAUGGUCACCAUUUCAUGGGUUUCCAUCCAAUAUCUCCUGGCAUUGAUCAAGAUCACGUCUGCAUCUGUUGACUCCCCAUAGCCUCAAAUUUUAUUGAAUUGGAUCAUAGCCUCUUGAUGAUGAUGAUGAUGAUGAUCAGAUUGAUCUGGACCUGAACUACUCCUCCGACGCUUCACAG